UCGGAACGUAUCCAUAAGUGGGGGACAACCUAGCGAAAGUUAGGCUAAUACCGCAUACGCAGGAGACUGGAAAGUGGGGGAUCGCAAGACCUCACGCUUUAGGAGCGGCCGAUAUCAGAUUAGCUAGAUGGUGAGGUAAAGGCUUACCAUGGCGACGAUCUGUAGCUGGUCUGAGAGGAUGAUCAGCCACACUGGGACUGAGACACGGCCCAG
rnacentral:rRNA from 1 species